GCUUACGGCCAUACCACCCUGAGCACGCCCGAUCUCGUCUGGUAUCGGAAGCUAAGCAGGGUCUGGCCUGGUUAGUACUUGGAUGGGAGACAGCCUAGGAAUACCAGGUGCUGUAAGCU
rnacentral:rRNA from 1 species